UUCCGGUUGAUCCUGCCGGACCCCACUGCUAUCGAGGUGGGACUAAGCCAUGCUAGUUGAGCGCACAGAACUAUGUCUGUGAGCGGCACACUGCUCAGUAACACGUAGCUAACCUACCUUAGGACGUGGACAACCCCGAGAAAUUGGGGCUAAUCCGCGAUAGAUGUAUUGUCCUGGAAUGGUAUUACGUCUAAAGGUAUCCCAUACAUGUUUGGUAUAUGCAUAAGGAUGGGGCUGCGGCCGAUCAGGCUGUUGGUGAGGUAAUGGCUCACCAAACCUUUGACCGGUACGGGCCAUGAGAGUGGUAGCCCGGAGAUGGACACUGAGACAAGGGUCCAGGCCCUACGGGGCGCAGCAGGCGCGAAACCUCCUCAAUGCACUUACGUGCGAAGGGGCUACCUCGAGUGCCACCUGAUGAAGGUGGCUUUUCCUAGGUCUACAAAGCCUUGGGAAUAAGAGGGGGGCAAGACUGGUGUCAGCCGCCGCGGUAACACCAGCCCCUCGAGUGGUGGGGAUGAUUAUUGGGCCUAAAGCGUCCGUAGCCUGCCGAAUAAGUUUUCCGUUAAAUCCAGCGUCUCAAGCGUUGGACUGCGGGAAAUACUGUACGGCUAGAGAGUGGGAGAGGUCAGCGGUAUUCUGGGGGUAGGGGCGAAAUCCUUUGAUCCCCGGAGGACCACCAGUGGCGAAGGCUGCUGUCUAGAACACGUCUGACGGUCAGGGACGAAAGCUGGGGUAGCGAACCGGAUUAGAUACCCGGGUAGUCCCAGCCGUAAACGAUGCAUGCUAGGUGUUGGGUUGGCCACGAGCCACCCCAGUGCCGCAGGGAAGCCGUUAAGCAUGCCGCCUGGGAAGUACGAUCGCAAGGUUGAAACUUAAAGGAAUUGGCGGGGGAGCACCACCAGGCGUGAAGCUUGCGGUUUAAUUGGAUUCAACGCCGG
rnacentral:rRNA from 1 species